rnacentral:lncRNA from 1 species
UAUCGACUGUGCCGCAUGAGCAGGAUUUUACGGCACAGUCGAUAGAUAGCGCGCUGUACUUCGGGCAAGAAGGUCGAGGGUUCGAGGCCUGCUCCCUGCUGUUUCAUUACACUAUCUUUUGGCCACACGAUGGUGGUAUAAGAUUGUAAAUGGUUUAAUUUUAUUUUAUGUUGUCUGAACGGAAGGUUGCAAAAUUCCCUCUACCUUUCCCAGAUCUGAUUGAAAGAUUGCGGAUUUCCUUCUUACUCACUCCCGAUUUCAAAAUAUUUAUCAAAUUUGUAUUUCUGGAAAAACCUUGGAAAUGUUUGGGGGGAUUGGCCUAUGCACAAGUUGGAGUGUACAGCCAUGUGUUCCUAUGGGGAGAACUGAUGUCCCUCAGAGACCGUCAGACUGGUGGCCAGGAUCAUCAUGAAACAGGUCAGUCGUUGUGUGUGUGUGUGUGUGUGUGUGUGUGUGUGUGUGUGUGUGUUGCAUUUGGAAAGUAUUCAGACCCCUUGACUUUUUCCACAUUUUGUUACAAUGGAGUCCACUUGUGGUAAAUUCAAUUGAUUGGACAUGAUUUGGAAAGGCACACACCUGUCUAUAUAAGGUCCCACAGUUGACAGUGCAUGUCAGUGCAAAAACCAAGCCAUGAGGUCGAAGGAAUUGUCCUUAGAGCUCCGAGACAGGAUUGUGUCGAGGAACAGAUCUGGGGAAGGGUACCAAUAAAUUUCUGCAGCAUUGAAGGUCCCCAAGAACACAGUAGCCUCCAUCAUUCUUAAAUGGAAGAAGUUUGGAACCACCAAGACUCUUCCCGAGAGCUGGCCGCCCGGCCAAACUGAGCAAUCGGGGGAGAAGGGCCGUGGUCAGGGAGGUGACCAAGAACCCGAUGGUCACUCUGACAGAGCUCCAGAGUUCCUCUAUGGAGAUUGGAGAACCUUCAAGAAAAAGUUAGGAGAUAUCUAAUCAAUGGA